rnacentral:rRNA from 1 species
GACGAACGCUGGCGGCAUGCCUAACACAUGCAAGUCGAACGAUUGCCUUCGGGUGAUAGUGGCGCACGGGUGCGUAACGAGUGGGAAUCUGCCCUUAGGUUCGGAAUAACAGCUGGAAACGGCUGCUAAUACCGGAUGAUAUCGCGCGAUCAAAGAUUUAUCGCCUGAGGAUGAGCCCGCGUUGGAUUAGGUAGUUGGUGGGGUAAAGGCCUACCAAGCCGACGAUCCAUAGCUGGUCUGAGAGGAUGAUCAGCCACACUGGGACUGAGACACGGCCCAGACUCCUACGGGAGGCAGCAGUGGGGAAUAUUGGACAAUGGGCGCAAGCCUGAUCCAGCAAUGCCGCGUGAGGGAUGAAGGUCCUAGGGUUGUAAAGCUCUUUUACCAGGGAAGAUAAUGACUGUACCGGGAGAAUAAGCCCCGGCUAACUACGUG